CUUAAAUUGGAAGCCAAAUGGUGACAUUCAGGCUGAAAUGAAAGGCAGUCCCAUUUCUUGGUGUGGUACUGGAAAAGGAUCCUUGUCUUUUGAAAGAGGAGCCCCAGCAGGUGACUCCUGUGAAAGGGUCGUUUGAAUCCAAAGGGAUCUCAACUCACAAGUUGAGAACCACUGGUUUAACCAAUGUGCUGUUCCAGAUAAAGUCAUCUGAAGCCUUACUUUGAGAUUUUUGCAGCUCUUCAUGAGGUACUUCACAUCAUAAAUGACAGGAAAAAAUAAUCGAAGGAUCUCAAAGAAAUCAAGUUCUUCUUCAGGCAAGUUAGAGUUGGUCAGGAUUUUGAUUAAAUAGCCAAA